CGGAGGAAAAGAAACCAACAGGGAUUGCCCUAGUAACGGCGAGUGAAGCGGCAACAGCUCAAAUUUGAAAUCUGGCUCUCGGGCCCGAGUUGUAAUUUGUAGAGGAUACUUUUGAUGCGGUGCCUUCCGAGUUCCCUGGAACGGGACGCCAUAGAGGGUGAGAGCCCCGUCUGGUUGGAUGCCAAAUCUCUGUAAAGUUCCUUCGACGAGUCGAGUAGUUUGGGAAUGCUGCUCUAAAUGGGAGGUAUAUGUCUUCUAAAGCUAAAUACCGGCCAGAGACCGAUAGCGCACAAGUAGAGUGAUCGAAAGAUGAAAAGCACUUUGAAAAGAGAGUUAAAAAGUACGUGAAAUUGUUGAAAGGGAAGCGUUUAUGACCAGACUUGGGCUUGGUUAAUCAUCUGGGGUUCUCCCCAGUGCACUUUUCCAGUCCAGGCCAGCAUCAGUUUUCCCCGGGGGAUAAAGACUUCGGGAAUGUGGCUCUCUUCGGGGAGUGUUAUAGCCCGUUGUGUAAUACCCUGGGGGGGACUGAGGUUCGCGCAUCUGCAAGGAUGCUGGCGUAAUGGUCAUCAACGACCCGUCUUGAAACACGGACCAAGGAGUCGUCUUCGUAUGCGAGUGUUCGGGUGUCAAACCCCUACGCGUAAUGAAAGUGAACGCAGGUGAGAGCUUCGGCGCAUCAUCGACCGAUCCUGAUGUUCUCGGAUGGAUUUGAGUAAGAGCAUACGGGGCCGGACCCGAAAGAAGGUGAACUAUGCCUGUAUAGGGUGAAGCCAGAGGAAACUCUGGUGGAGGCUCGCAGCGGUUCUGACGUGCAAAUCGAUCGUCAAAUAUGGGCAUGGGGGCGAAAGACUAAUCGAACCUUCUAGUAGCUGGUUCCGCCGA
rnacentral:rRNA from 1 species